AAACAUAUUAGGGGGCAUUUCCUUAUCAAAUCCUUGAACCUCUCCCAGGCUUCAUAAAUAGUCUCACCAUCUUGUUGUCUGAAUGUCUGCACUUCAGUCUUGAGCCU